GUCAGUUUGUGUUAGCCACAAGAUAAUAAUAAAAUUUUUUUGGCCAAAUCAUAAUCUUGGAAAACUCACCUUUUAGUAUGAGGAAACAAGCUGAUUCCUUCAGAGCGAGACAAAGGAGAAGCACCAGACAAAUUCAGCUGCAUGUACAGGAUAAAAGUCACCAUGUUCCGGAUCUGGAUCACGAGGUCCCGGAUCUGGAUCUGGCACAAAUGAAGCACUGGAUGUUUCCCUAUCUUUGACUUGAAUACUCCCUGAACUACCAAAAGAUCCAAGAACGUUGUUUGUGUCACGGUGCAGUGAGCAUCAGUGCCACCGUCCCGUACACCACCAGUUCCCAUCACUCCACAAACACAUCCCGGACUUGUCUUCGUGUCACAACUAUUCACACCAGGUCCCAAUCAUCUCGUUAGUAUGUGUUUAAAUGUUUCCCCUCUGCUCCCCACAUUUGUUGUUUUCGGUCAGUGUGCUUCAUGUAACUGGUGAGUGUUUCCGUUUUGCUGUUCACAGAUUCAGUCCCUUUUGUUUUUCCUUAACUUUGAUUUGUGUGCUCUGUGUUUGUUUUUCAUUAAACACAACUACCUGGAGUAUAUUCGGCUGCGCCUGGUUCCUCCACUACCGCCCCACCGUUACAGAAUGAUCGACCAAAAAGGAACCCGCAGGCGUGCAAGGAAAACCAGCCAUUGUCACAGGGAUAACUCCUUGAUUGGGGGUCUGACUCCCUCUCCUCGGAUGAUGAGGAGGUGCUGUAUGGGAGAGUGGAGGAAGACCCCCUGGGGGAGCAAAGCUGGAGGUCGCCCCAAUAACUUUUUGGGGGGAUGCUAUGGGGCGUAGACCAAUGGGGAGA